CUUGCAAUUUCCACCGUAAAUAUUUAUAAUACACACGUCGCGCAAGCGAUGAUGAUUCUGAAAUCUUUGUGGAAUAGACGUUUUGGACUGGGGGGCGGUACCCCACAGCUCCACCAAUUUUUUCCCCUCCACAGGAGGGGUGCCAAGUGAAACGCGGCAGGGAGGGUUCCCACCACUUGGCAACAAGAACCCUCCCCGUCUUGAACGCAAUGCGUUCAAUCCACCCCUCCACAGAGGGGAAUUUAUGGGGCUGACAUAGUUUCGACAGGCGCAGUAAAGACAAAAGAUUGAAUCCGACAUGGCGUCGUUAAAAGCCAAUUAAAAACUGAAUGGCGAUAGAAUCGCUGCGAACGACAAUGUUCGCCUUGCAAUGGCUGCCUAAUAUGGCAUCGGAUAUGAUUGGCGAUUGUUGAUUGUAUCCAUUUCGCUUAUUGCGGGGUCGGUCGGGUACCUGGCACCAGAAACCC
rnacentral:tmRNA from 1 species